GCGCUCACUUCGGCAGCACCCAUACUAAAAUGGAAUGAUACAGAGAUUAGCAUGGCCCCUGUGAAAGGAUGACACAAAAAUUUUUGAACAUUCCAUAGUUUUU